GAUGAAGAACGUAGCGAAAUGCGAUACGUAAUGUGAAUUGCAAAUUCAGUGAAUCAUCGAGUCUUCGAACGCACAUUGCGCCCCCUGGUAUUCCGGGGGGCAUGCCUGUCCGAGCGUCAUUGCUGCCCUCAAGCACGGCUUGUGUGUUGGGCCCCGUCCUCCGAUCCCGGGGGACGGGCCCGAAAGGCAGCGGCGGCACCGCGUCCGGUCCUCGAGCGUAUGGGGCUUUGUCACCCGCUCUGUAGGCCCGGCCGGCGCUUGCCGAUCAACCCAAAUUUUUAUCCAGGUUGACCUCGGAUCAGGUAGGGAUACCCGCUGAACUUAAGCAUAUCAAUAAGCGGAGGA
rnacentral:misc_RNA from 1 species